GUCGAGAAUCUUUCACAAUGGGGGCAACCCUGAUGGAGCGACGCCGCGUGGAGGAUAAGGUCUUCGGAUUGUAAACUCCUGUCAUGCGUGAACAAGGUUGCUUGGUUAAUACCUGGGCAAAUUGAUGGUAACGCAAGAGGAAGAGACGGCUAACUCUGUGCCAGCAGCCGCGGUAAUACAGAGGUCUCAAGCGUUGUUCGGAAUCACUGGGCGUAAAGGGUGCGUAGGUGGCGUGGUAAGUCAGAUGUGAAAGCCCGGGGCUCAACCUCGGAACUGCAUCCGAUACUGCCAGGCUAGAGUACUGGAGAGGUGACUAGAAUUCUCGGUGUAGCAGUGAAAUGCGUAGAUAUCGAGAGGAAUACCAAAGGCGUAGGCAGGUCACUGGACAGUUACUGACACUGAGGCACGAAGGCCAGGGGAGCGAACGGGAUUAGAAACCCCUGUAGUCC
rnacentral:rRNA from 1 species